ensembl:lncRNA
AUCGUAACGGCACCUAUUAACGCCCGAAACCUAUUAACACCCUGAGGGCCGAAACACACCAAACGCGUUUUUAAAAACGGGACGCUAGCAAAUGCAUUGUUUCCUAUGGUACGGCGCGCCUUGCGUGUGCGCCUUUUCUCCGCCACGCGUUGCGUCUUUCUAGCGUUUUUUAGAUGCGCUUCAAAGUUGAACUAUUCUCAACUUUCCAGCGCAAGGUGCGGAGGCGCACCGCUCAUCAAUGUCCCACUCGGCCCAGGCAGGUUGCGCACGCAGCUCCGCUUCCUAGGCGCCGGGCAAAACAGCCUGGUGAUUCUGCGAAUGUUUUGCCCGCCGCACUUUGUCAAGGCGUUUUUGAAGCGUCUGCCGUUUUAAAAACGUUUUUGGUGUGUUUCGGCCCUCACGCGGGUACAUGUUACCUCCGCUGCGCGUCAGGGUGCUGUUCGCCCCGUCGGGAUUUAUUUUUGGAUAUUGACCUCCGGACAAUACAUUAUCCCUUACUUGAUUUCUGUAUCAUCUCAGAUCAACAAGACUAAAUAUGUUCUACGCAUGCGCUAAACCCAGUUUGUGAGGGAUUGCGCAAUCUGAGGCUAGUCAUAGGGAUGGUGUGGUGUAAAGCCUGUGGAAACAGCGUGGGUGUGUGUGUGGACCGCUGCUGUGACAUCUGCUGCCAGGGCUGUGUGAGCUGCUGUGGUUGCCUGUGCCCCCGUGACUGUCUCUACACAUUCUGUGCCAUGUAUUACCGCCUUGCCCACUACUGUUCUGUCGGUCAGAAACCAGAGCCGGCCUAUGCCAUGCCUGGAUCACUAUAAACUGUUAUUCAUCGCCUGUGCUGCUGAGCAGCUCCCAGAUGGAGUGCAGGGACACAGACACAGAACCAGCGCUGACCAGCACCAGCAGGCCUCCUCCAUCAGCUCAGCCCACCACUUCAUCCAUUCAGACUCAGCCUCCAUCUCCUCUGAUGAACCUCUCAUGCUACACUUUAAUUCAUGGGGAUGGUGUGGUGUAAAGCAUUAGCACCAUGGUCCCAGAACAGUGGAAACGGUCACGAGGCCCCUCCAUCCUGCACGUCCUGCAGCAUGGGUGUGUGUGUGGACCGCUGCUGUGACAUCUGCUGCCAGGGCUGUGUGGGCUGCUUUGGUUGCCUGUGCCCCCGUGACUGUCUCUACACAUUCUGUGCCAUGAUUGCCCGCCUUGCCCACUACUGUUCUGUCGGUCAGAAACCAGAGCCGGCCUAUGCCAUGCCUGGAUCACAGAAAUGCUUCAGUGUGGGAGAAGAGGUGUAGAUGCCACUUUGGCCAAGUUGACGGAGACACAGCGGAGACAGAUGGCCCCAAUGGCAGUCCUCCUCACCCAAAUGUUCCAUCAUCUUUCACCUCUGUCUGUAUUGAUUGGGUCACCAUUUGCUUUUGAGUAGAUUGUUAAGCAUUCUGUGCUUAUUAUUUUGUGAUUGUAUUUUUUUUUAUCAUGUAUACCCAUACUAGCAAUGUUUCUGUGCUCGAUAACAAAAGUUAACAAAUGAUGGCAAUUUCAAUAAAGGCGCUGCCACGCAAAUUCAUCCACUUACUCUGUCUACAGUGCACUGCAAAAAUUCAGCUUUUAAAAACAAGCAAAAAAGUUAGAAAAUGGGGGAUAUAUUACUUAAAAUAAGCAAAAUGAUCUGCCAACAGAACAGGAAAAUUUGGCUUACCAAGAUUUAAAAAAGAAAACCCAAAUAUACCUAAACAACUAAAAACAAGUACAUUUGUCUUGAUUCUGACUUUGACAAAGCAGUUUUGUACUUGUCAGCGGUGAUCAAACUAGUUUCAAGCAUUAACUUGCUCAGAACCAGUAAUAAAAUCUCAGUAACAGGUUAUAAUACCGUAUUAAGAUAAUUAAGAACCGAAACGCU